GURGUCGUUCUAAAUUCACCGGACGGUGCAGAUAUCGGAGGGAGUGGACGAGAGUGAGGUCCAACGUAUGARAUGGGCAGUGGUUUGGAGGGGCUCUCAAGCAUGAGGAUAUCGCGCUUACGUGGUACUGGAGCUGAAAGGACAGRAUAGGUGGAUCACCCUUGAAAGCUGUAGUCARAGGAUUUCCCCAGAUGACCAACUCUUUCAGCUUUGGCCAUCCCAUUACAGCUAACAGACCUUCUUCCUCAUAAAUCAUGUUGUUGGAGAGAUUAAGAUGGAGUAGAGAAGGAAAUGGUUUGGGUGGCUUAAACUUGUCAUCUGGAAAACAAAAAUAUASGAAACAGGGAGUUUCAUUCCAAGCAAUUCAUCAACUUCAUCCAUAAUCAGCCCUUCUUUGUCGUCCUGAUUCAUUCCUUUUUCUUCUUCCUCUGUCCCAUUUUCAUCUGAUGGUAGCUCUGUUGAUGUGAAUUGCACUGAGCUGUGUUUUGCAGCCAACUCAUCUUCCUUUGGACGCACUCUUCCCCCAAGAAGACGGAGAUGAGUUCCAGACCUAAAGUACAUAAACAAAAUGAUACAAGUGACUUGUCAAUUGAAUUUGUCAGAGGGUUGAUAAUCAAGUCUUAAUCAGUAAGGUGAUGGUAGGCAAACUGAAGUGGUCAGAGGAUUAGUCUUUUUGUCAAAUGCAAGGUCUUAAGACAUGGRAUGACUCCCAAGGCAAGGAUAUCAUCAGAUGUGAGCCUAUUAUAGGACAAAUCAAGCUUCUCCAGAAGGAGGAAAUCAUGUGGACCUACAUUGACUCCUCCUGAUACAUGAUUGAGAGGAAAUUCAAGCUCUCGCAGUGACAUGAAGUUCCUGAAAGCAUCUAAAGUUUCAACAGAUAAUAGCAUUAUUACAUUAUUAAUCAU